rnacentral:tRNA from 1 species
GGUUGUGGCUCAGUGGUAGAGUGCUUGCCUAUCAUAUAUGAGGCACUGGGUUUGAAUCUCAGCACCA